CGAUGCGGGGGACACACGUGAGAGGUGCGCACGUGUUCCGGUUCCGGGUCCGGGGAGCGAUGAGGGGCACGGCGGCGGGGACGGAGCGGAGAGCCACGAAAAUGAAGAAAGCGUCCAAAAUAAAGACGGUGAAAAAAGCGAGGGAAGCGUCUCAAGCGGGCAAAGCCCCGAAAAUGGCGAAAACGAAGACUCCGAAGCGGGCGGCAGCCGUGGCGGAUCAGGCGGCGGCGGAGGCGGCGUGGCGCGCCCGGCACCUGAGGGAUGUGAGCCAGGCGUCGGGCGCCGAGCGGGAGCUGGAGGAGCUGGUGUUCGGUGACAGCCUCAAAGUGGAGGAGGACGAGUUGCUGCGGCGCCUGGGCGAGCCCCCGAGGGUUGCUGCCACAGAGAGGAAAAGUCUCCAAGCAGAUUCCAGCGAUUCCGAGGUAGAAAAUGAAGCCAAAGGCGACUUGUUGCCCAGAAAGCCGGCCUGGAUGGAUGAGGAUGAUGAAGCCGAGGAAAAUGUUGACAUGACCCAUAAAUACAGGAAGGAUUUCAUGAAAAGCGAUGCUGAGAAGACACUUACUAAGAAAAAACUAAAAAGAAGACUUGAGGAACAGUUUCAGCAAGCCAUGGGAGGAGUUCCUGCCUGGGCUAAUUUAGAAAACAGGAAGAAAUCCAAAAGGACUUCAAGUGAUAGUGAGAGUGAUGAAGAUGAUGAUCUUCUACGCAGGACUGGCAAUUUCAUAACGAGCUCAGAGUCCCUGCCAAGAGGGAUUUUGAAGAUGAGCACCUGCCUGCCUGCAAACCAGGAACGCUUUGCCGAUGGAAAGCUGGUGACGGUGCAGUUCCACCCUUCAGCCCAAGUGGUCAUGACUGCGGGACACGAUCGGUCUGUGUCGCUCUUCCAGGUGGAUGGUAUAAGGAAUCCAAAAAUACAGAGCAUCUAUUUAGAGAGUUUUCCAAUUUAUAAGGCUCGUUUCAGUGUUGAUGGAGAACAAGUUAUAGCCACUGGUACUCACCACAGCAUGUUCUUUGUGUAUGACAUGAUGGCUGGAAAUAUUAUUCCUAUACCCAAAGUCCGAGGUGUGGAGGAAAGAUUUCUCAGAAACUUUGAGCUCUCUCCAGAUGGAUCAUUUAUGCUGCUAAUUGGAACCUCGGGUUACCUUCACUUGCUGUCCAUGAAGACAAAGGAACUGAUCAGCACUAUGAAGGUAAAUGGAAGAUGCACUGCAUCUGCUUUCACUCCAGACAGCAGUAAAAUAUACAACUAUUCAAAGGAAGGUGAAGUUUUCAUUUGGGAUGUGAGAAGCAGGAAGUGUCUACACAAAUUUGAAGAUGAAGGUUCUUUGGAAGGACAGUGCAUUGCUGUUUCAAAGAACAACCAGUAUGUGGCAUGUGGUUCAUCUUCAGGGGUUGUAAAUUUAUAUACCACUGAUGUCUGUCUCAAGGAAAACCGUCCUAAGCCAGUUAAGGCCAUAAUGAACCUUGUUACUUCUGCCACCUGUGUGACCUUCAACCCCACCACGGAAAUUUUGGCGGUGGCUUCCCGUGAUGCUGAUGAGGCUGUGAAAUUGCUUCUGACCUAUUUCUCAAUAGGUGCACAUUCCUUCAUACACUGUGUUCUCAAACUUCCCAGUGUUCAGAAGAAAACAGAUUUAUCUUGCUCAGUCUAUGGACUUUUCUCCCAGAAGUGGCUAUUUCUCUGUAGCAAAUAACAAAGGCAAAGCCUUGUUAUUUAGGCUGAAACAUUAUUCAUCUUUCUGAAAGAAGGUACAGCAGAAAAUGGACCAGUAACUGAGGUGUUGUAACCUGCAGAUACGAGUAUGCUGACAAAAUCAAACAAGUCUUAUUUAUAUGGAAGUUACAAAAUACUAGUAGAACAUCUGUAUUUUUGAAUGUUGGUUUUUUUUUUUAAUAAAUAUACCUGGUAAGUUUCCAGGCAA